rnacentral:rRNA from 1 species
AACGCUGGCGGCGCGCUUAACACAUGCAAGUCGAGCGAGAACCGGUCCUUCGGGACCGGGGACAGCGGCGAACGGGUGAGUAACACGUGGGUAAUCUGCCCUCGAUUCUGGGAUAGCCCGGGGAAACCCGGAUUAAUACCGGAUAGCCUCUCGAGCUUUCGAGCUCGUGAGAAAAGGUAGCUUCGGCCUCCGAUCGAGGAUGAGCCCGCGGCGGAUUAGCUUGUUGGUGGGGUAACGGCCUACCAAGGCGACGAUCCGUAGCUGGUCUGAGAGGACGAUCAGCCACACUGGGACUGAGACACGGCCCAGACUCCUACGGGAGGCAGCAGUGGGGAAUCUUGCGCAAUGGGCGAAAGCCUGACGCAGCGACGCCGCGUGGGGGAAGAAGGCCUUCGGGCUGUAAACCUCUUUCAGCAGGGACGAAGCCACUCGGGUGAAUAGCCCAGAGGGUGACGGUACCUGCAGAAGAAGCCCCGGCUAACUACGUGCCAGCCGCCGCCGUAACAC